UACGUAGGGUGCGAGCGUUGUCCGGAUUUACUGGGCGUAAAGAGCGCGCAGGCGGUCUUGUAAGUCGAAUGUGAAAGCCCCUGGCUCAACUGGGGAGGGUCAUUCGAUACUGCUCGACUCGAAGGCAGGAGAGGGAAGCGGAAUUCCCGGUGUAGUGGUGAAAUGCGUAGAUAUCGGGAGGAACACCAGUGGCGAAGGCGGCUUUCUGGCCUGUUCUUGACGCUGAGGCGCGAAAGCUAGGGGAGCAACGGG
rnacentral:rRNA from 1 species